UACAGAGGUCCCAAGCGUUUGUUCGGAUUCACUGGGCGUAAAGGGUGCGUAGGUGGUGAGGUAAGUCGGAUGUGAAAUCUCCGAGCUCAACUCGGAAAUGGCAUUGGAAACUACCUUGCUCGAGGGUUGGAGGGGGGACUGGAAUGCUUGGUGUAGCAGUGAAAUGCGUAGAUAUCAAGCGGAACACCAGUGGCGAAGGCGAGUCCCUGGACACUCCUGACACUGAGGCACGAAAGCUAGGGGAGCAAACAGG
rnacentral:rRNA from 1 species